rnacentral:rRNA from 1 species
AAAGAGUUUCAUAUCUAAGGGUUGUGAUAGGCNAGUCUUUUGGGUAUGAAACCCAUUUGGGCGAGAGUAGUACUAGGAUGGGUGACCUCCUGGGAAGUCCUCGUGAAAGGGUUUC